AUUCUGUAUACUUGUUAGAAGGCAGAAUAUAAACAGAUAACACAUGACGCCCGUAUGAUCACACAGACACAGGAUGGAGGAGGAACACACGGGGCUGGACCUUUAACUGUGUCGCUCAACUUUCGGUUCACUCUGAGCUGCACAAGGCACACGAUACAGACAGUUUGCUUGCUGAGCUGGAUUUAAAGGUCGGAACACUAUGACGCCGGCGAAGAAAACCAUUUUCUGUUUCCUGUCUGUCACCAACUGCAUUGUGGGAGUUUCAGCUUCAGUACUCGAUCCAAGUACCGGUGGAGCUGAUGGCGCGUCCCUCGCGGUGACCCCGACUGUGAUACUGGCUACACUGGUGGCAGUUGCAUUGUGUCUGCUUUUGGCUUUGUAUCUCCUGCAGGUUAAAGGAAAGUCACUGCUCAGCCAUCAGGAGGAAGGAGAUGUGACUGAGAGACAGUCUACGGACAGCUGUUGCAUUCAAUGUCUGGGCAUGUGCGGGACGGGAGUGCCCCUCGGUGCAAUACCCAUAAACACUGAAAAUGUGUAACUAAUCUGCCCAAAAGCUGGGUCAGUGCUGUGAUAUUUUCACCAUUGUGAGAUCAUCAGACCUUCUAUAACUGGUCGUCUCCUCGCUAGAACAUCUGAAACUUGGCUGUAGACAAUCCCUUGGUUCAGUUUAGAGUGCUAACGUAGAGCGCAGUCCACCGAGUGCUAUUUAAAUUCUUUACAAAUUCUUACCAUAAGUAGUGAUAUGUGUUUAGAGAUAAGCUACGGAUUUGUAUUUACAUUUCUCUCGGGGCUUGGAAGGCAAUCCAAUUAACCAUUUAGUUCACCUACAUUGCCAGAUGCUCAGCUUUAUCAAUAUAUAAUAGCUUCACUAUGUAACACAAUGAAUAGGGACAUAUUUUAAUAUCACAUGUAGAUCUCAAAACAGAGGAGAAAAAGGCUAAUUGCAAGUCAGGCGAGUGAGCCGGGGUAAGCCAGGCGAGUACCCACGCCGGU